rnacentral:tRNA from 1 species
GCAGGCGUGGUGAAAUUGGUAGACACGCAUGCUUUAGGAGCAUGUGGAGCAAUCCAUGUGGGUUCAAGUCCCGCCGCCUGCAC